rnacentral:rRNA from 1 species
CAACUGGAGAGUUUGAUCCUGGCUCAGAACGAACGCUGGCGGCGUGCCUAACACAUGCAAGUCGCGCGAGAAAAGGGGGGCAACUCCCUGAGUAAAGCGGCGAACGGGUGAGUAACACGUAGGUGACCUACCUUCGAGUCCAGAAUAACCUACCGAAAGGUGGGCUAAUGCCAGAUAUGACCACGGGGACUUCGGUCUCUGCGGUGAAAGGUGGCCUCUGCUUGCAAGCUACCGCUCGAAGAUGGGCCUGCGCGCCAUUAGCUAGUUGGUGAGGUAACGGCUCACCAAGGCGAUGAUGGCUAGCUGGUCUGAGAGGAUGGCCAGCCACACUGGGACUGAAACACGGCCCAGACUCCUACGGGAGGCAGCAGUGGGGGAUAUUGCGCAAUGGGCGAAAGCCUGACGCAGCGACGCCGCGUGGGUGAUGAAGGCCUUCGGGUCGUAAAGCCCUGUCGAGGGGAAAGAAACGGCCCCGACCCAAUACGUCGGGGCCCUGACGGUACCCCUAAAGGAAGCACCGGCUAACUCCGUGCCAGCAGCCGCGGUAAUACGGAGGGUGCGAGCGUUGUUCGGAAUCACUGGGCGUAAAGGGCGUGUAGGCGGUUCGCUAAGUCUGAUGUGAAAGCCCGGGGCUCACCCCCGGAAGUGCAUUGGAAACUGGCGGACUCGAGUCCCGGAGAGGAGGGUGGAAUUCCUGGUGUAGCGGUGAAAUGCGUAGAUAUCAGGAGGAACACCGGUGGCGAAGGCGGCCCUCUGGACGGUGACUGACGCUAAGACGCGAAAGCGUGGGGAGCAAACAGGAUUAGAUACCCUGGUAGUCCACGCUGUAAACGAUGAGCACUAGGUGUCGUGGGUAUUGACCCCCGCGGUGCCGCA